AAAUUUUGAGGAUACUUCAUGCUGUUUCUUUAAAGUGAUUAAACCAUCCAAGAUGCAUUUUUAUUUUCUCUGAAACUUGAGCACUGAAGGGUCUGAUUGAUGAGAAUUAAAGCCCAUGCCCUAUGAACCUCUAGAGAGAAAGGUCUUUGUUAUUUUCAGAAGAGGAAAUGACCGACUAAGGUCCAACAGAGAUUUCGUGGUCAUCCUCAGAAAGAGUCUUGGCAUCUGAUUCUUUGAUAUCCUUGUUGACCAAUUGGAUGAGGAGACUGUCCACAGGCCCUGGAAAUUAUGGUGUGGCCGCAGCAUUCUGAGUCUCUGGUUUGUAAUCUGUACUGUGGAGUGGACUGUGAGUGAUGACGGGGCAUCAUGUGGCUAGAAUCUACCUCAGCUGUUCAGUCUCACAGUGGUUAAACAGAAGUCACUCACCAGAUUGUGCCCUGAAAUCACAUGAAGUUGCGGGUGGAGAUUCACCUGAUAGCUGUAGAAACCCAUCUCAGCCCCAGGACCAUGAAGAAUCAGACUCUGGUAACAGAAUUUAUCCUGCAGGGCUUUUCGGAGCACCCAGAAUACCGUGUGCUGUUUUUAAGCUGUUUCCUCUCCCUCUACUUUGUGGCCCUCCCAGGAAAUAUCCUCAUCAUUUUGUCCAUCACCUUCCAUCCCAGGCUGCACACUCCCAUGUAUGUUUUUCUCUUCAACUUGGCUACUAUGGACAUCAUCAGCACCUCCUCCAUCAUGCCCAAAGCAGUGGAAGGUCUGAUAUCAGGAAAGCUCCCUCUCCCAUGGGGGCUACAUGGUCCAGCUUUAUUUCCUCACAUGGACUGAAUCUUCUGAGCUGCUCCUCCUAA
rnacentral:lncRNA from 1 species